UACGUAGGGUGCAAGCGUUGUCCGGAAUUAUUGGGCGUAAAGAGCGUGUAGGCGGUCCGGUAAGUCAGCUGUGAAAGUCAAGGGCUCAACCCUUGAAUGCCGGUUGAUACUGUCGGGCUAGAGUCCGGAAGAGGCGAGUGGAAUUCCCGGUGUAGCGGUGAAAUGCGCAGAUAUCGGGAGGAACACCAGUAGCGAAGGCGGCUCGCUGGGCCACACCUGACGCUGAGACGCGAAAGCUAGGGGAGCGAACAGG
rnacentral:rRNA from 1 species